CACACACACACACACACACACACACUUAACCUAACCUAACCCCCCUCACACACACACACACAAACACACACUCCCCUUCCCCCCCACCCCACCCCCCAGCACACACACACACACAGGAGUUCCCUUGUGUUACCCCUCGUUGUGUUGCGGGUACUUGAGGGUGUUAUCAAGUUGUCAGACCUUAUCACCCGGGGCCUCAUCCUCCUGCCUCAUCACUAAUCGGGGCUGUGAUAAGUCGGAACGAGGCAACAGCAAAUGAAAAUGCCUCGCGUCUCACAUCUCUCGCACUGGUUUAAAUGAGUCUGAAGGGAUCAAGCGUGUUGAAGCGAUGUAUUGUGUGGAGUUUAGGAGGCUUGAUAAGGGAUUCAAGGCUGUCUGGAAGAGUACUCAAUCCCCUCUUUGUUCUUCUUUGGGGUUUUAGGUCAAGUUUAAGUACUUUAGGUUUAGGAGGCUUAAGGGAUCCAAGACUGCCUGAAAGAGUUUGUAUGUUACGGGAUUCAAGACUGUCUGGAAGAGUAUUCAAUCCCCUAGCUCUUUGUUCUUCUUUUGAGUUUUAGGUCACGUGAAGUACUUUAGGUUUAGGAGGCUUAAGGGAUCCAAGACUGUUUAAAAGAGUUUGUAUGUGGAGUUUGGGAGGUUAACUUACGGGAUUCAAGGGUUUCUGGAAGAGUACUCAAUCCCCUCUUUGUUCUUCUUUGGGGUUUUAGGUCACGUUUAAGUACUUUAGGUUUAGGAGGCUUAAGGGACCCAAGACUGCCUGAAAGAGUUUGUAUGUGGUGUUUGGGAGCUUAACUUAAGAGAUUCAAGACUGUCUGGAAGAGUAUUCGAAUCCCUUCUUCUUUUUUCCUUUUUAGCAUCGAGUCGCAUUUAGUAUUUUAGGUUUAGGAGUGUUAAGGAAUUCAAGACUGUCUGUAAAAGUUCUCGAAUCCUUUUUUGCUCUUCUUUUUGUCACGAGUCGCAUUGAGUAAUUUAGGUUAAGCAGCUCAAGGGAUUCGUGUCUGGCUGAAAGAGUACUCGAUCUUUUUCUUGGCUAUUGUUCUCUUUGGCACGAUUCACAUUACACGAUUCAGGUUAAGAGACAGGCGCGAUUCAGUACGUUUAAGGAAUAGUGAGUAGGUGUGUGAUGCUAUAUUGCUUUACGGAGGGCGAGGUACAGUUGCGUAGAAUGAGAGCAACAUGUCUUUACUUUAUAUAUCAUUAAACCUCCCCUCCUCACUUUGUCCUUCACCUCCCUCCUUUUCAUUUUUCAUCCCCCACCUCAUUCACUUCAACCUGCUCCCUGCUCCCCAUAUCUUUCCUCUCCAUCCCCUCCAGUUUUCUUAUUUCUUCUCUCUUGUCUUUCAUCUUUUCAUAUAUUUGCUUUGUAUUCAGUUCAGUAAUCUCCUUCUCUUUUCCUUUCAUCCUCCUCCUCUUCGUUUUUAAUAUCUCCCCCUUCGUUUCAUCCUCCUUCCUCCUUCUCAUAUCAUUCCCCUCCAUCUCCUCCUACUUAUCUCUUUUCCUUCUCUCCUUCAUGUCAUUGCUUUAGUAUAUCAGUAACCUCCUCCCUCACUUUUCUCUCCUCUUCUCUCUUCUUCCUCUUUAUUUUCUCUCUCCUCUUUCUCUCCCUUCUUCAUAGUCCUCUUUAUUUUUCUUCUUCUCUUCAUGUCUUUGUCUUUAUUUCCUCUCCUCUUCUCUCUUCUUCCUCUUAAUUUUCUCUUCCCUUUUCUCUCUUCGUCCUCUUAAUUUUCUCUCUCCCCUUUCUCUCCGUCCUUCCUAGUCCUCUUAUUUUUCUUUUCCAUGUCUUUGGCUGUUUUUCCUCUCCUCUUCUUUCUUCUUCCUCUUAAUUUUCUCUUCCCUUUUCUCUCCUUAAUUUUCUCUCCACUUUCUCUCCGCCCUUCCUAGUCCUCUUUAUUUUUCUUCUUCAUGUCAUUGCCUGUUUUUCCUCUCCUUCUCUUUUUCCUCUUUAUUUUAUCUCCUUUCUCUCCUUUGAUUCUUGUCCUCAGUGAACUUGAUAGACAGUGGGAACAUACAAGGUGACCGCUGCCCUACCUGCCCACCUUUGCUAUUCUUCCUCCACACACCUGUCCACCUGUCUCUACCUGUCCCACGUCUCUUGUUACCUGUCAUCCUCUCCUGUUUAUAUGUGGCUCCUCCUCCUCCUUCUUCUUCCUGUUUCUCCUCACUUUUUUUUUCUUGUUUCGGCUUUUUUUUACGUGUUUUUUUUUCCAUUUUAUCCUUAUUCCCUCUUUUCUCUCCUUGAUCUUCUCUUUCCUCCUUUCUUGUCUUCCUCUUUUCUUUGCUGUCCUUUUUGUCUCCCGUAUCCUUUCCUUAUUCAGUUACUUGUUCCUACCUUCUCUUUCGCUUUUUCUCCUCCUCCUCCUCCUCCUCCUCCUCCUCACUGGGAAGAAUUGGAUGGCCCCGAGAGAUGAAUUUCGUUCUCUGAUUUGUUCAACGAGGAGAUAAAAAAGAGACACCGACCAUUUCAAAACACCUGAUCUCACCUGUCCUUUUUCCCUUCACCUGUCCUCUCCUUACCUGCCCUUUCACCUUUUGCCCCAACUUCCCCUCACCUGAUAUACCUGUGCUGGUCAUGUUUUUUUUCCCCAUUGUGUUUUAUAGCCCUUAAGCCUCACCUUCUUUUCUUAUUUGCUCUUUCAUCUCUCUCCCUUUUCCUCCCUUCUCUCCUCCUUCUCUAUUCUCUCUCUGCCACUUCUGUUGAUUACUUCGCUCCCUUUUAUUUUCUCUCUCUUCUCUUUUUUCCUUUAGUUUAUUUUUUCCCCGUGUUGUAUAGCCCGUAAACCUCACCUUCUUAUUUUCUCCUAUUUCUCUUUCCCCUCCUUUAUCUUCUCUUCUCUGCUCCUUUUCUGUUCUUCCUCCCCACCUGCGUUCUUUUCCUCCUCCUCCCUCUUUCUUCCCCUCCCCCUUCCUUCCUUCCUUCCUUCCUACC